CAACCUGCCGUCUACUCUUAGACAGCCUUCUGAAAGGAAGAUUAAUACAAGAUGGCAUCAUGAGUCCGCAUGUUCACAUGAUUAAAGGUAUUCCGGUAGACGAUGGGGAUGCGUUCCAUUAGAUAGUAGGCGGGGUAACGGCCCACCUAGUCUUCGAUGGAUAGGGGUUCUGAGAGGAAGGUCCCCCACAUUGGAACUGAGACACGGUCCAAACUCCUACGGGAGGCAGCAGUGAGGAAUAUUGGUCAAUGGGCGAGAGCCUGAACCAGCCAAGUAGCGUGAAGGAUGACUGCCCUAUGGGUUGUAAACUUCUUUUAUAAAGGAAUAAAGUCGGGUAUGCAUACCCGUUUGCAUGUACUUUAUGAAUAAGGAUCGGCUAACUCCGUGCCAGCAGCCGCGGUAAUACGGAGGAUCCGAGCGUUAUCCGGAUUUAUUGGGUUUAAAGGGAGCGUAGAUGGAUGUUUAAGUCAGUUGUGAAAGUUUGCGGCUCAACCGUAAAAUUGCAGUUGAUACUGGAUAUCUUGAGUGCAGUUGAGGCAGGCGGAAUUCGUGGUGUAGCGGUGAAAUGCUUAGAUAUCACGAAGAACUCCGAUUG
rnacentral:rRNA from 1 species